CCUACGGGAGGCAGCAGUCGAGAAUCAUUCACAAUGGGGGAAACCCUGAUGGUGCGACGCCGCGUGGGGGAAUGAAGGCCUUCGGAUUGUAAACCCCUGUCAUGUGGGAGCAAAUUAAAAAGAUAGUACCACAAGAGGAAGAGACGGCUAACUCUGUGCCAGCAGCCGCGGUAAUACAGAGGUCUCAAGCGUUGUUCGGAACCACUGGGCGUAAAGCGUGCGUAGGCUGUUGCGUAAGUCGUGUGUGAAAGGCGCGGGCUCAACCCGCGGACGGCACAUGAUACUGCGAGACGAGAGGAAUGGAGGGGGAACCGGAAUUCUCGGUGUAGCAGUGAAAUGCGUAGAUAUCGAGAGGAACACUCGUGGCGAAGGCGGGUUCCUGGACAUUAACUGACGCUGAGGCACGAAGGCCAGGGGAGCGAAAGGGAUUAGAUACCCGUGUAGUC
rnacentral:rRNA from 1 species